UGAGCAAUCUGCCCUUCUCUUCGGAAUAAGCGUUGGAAACGACGUCUAAUGCCGAAUACGACCUCCUUUCGCAUGAUCGGAGGUGGAAAGCUCCGGCGGAGAAGGAUGAGCUCGCGGCCUAUCAGCUAGUUGGUGAGGUAAUGGCUCACCAAGGCGACGACGGGUAGCCGGCCUGAGAGGGUGACCGGCCACACGUGGGACUGAGACACGGCCCAGACCUCCGUACGGGAGCAG
rnacentral:rRNA from 1 species